GACGAACGCUGGCGGCGUGCCUAAUACAUGCAAGUCGAGCGGAGCGGCGGACGGGUGAGUAAUGCCUAGGAAUCUGCCUGGUAGUGGUGGAUAACGUCCGGUAACGGGCGCUAAUACCGCCUACUAUAAGAUGAGCCUCGGUCGGAUUAGCUAGUUGGUGGGGUAAAGGCCUACCAAGGCGACGAUCCGUAACUGGUCUGAGAGGAUGAUCAGUCACACUGGAAAUGAGAGAAGGACCAGCAGCCUAAGGGAGACAGGGGUGGGGAAUAUUGGACAAGGGGCAGAAGCCAGAACCAGCCAUGCCGGGUGGGUGUAGAAGGUCUUCGGAUUGUAGAGCACGUUAAGUUGGGAAGCGUUACCAACAGAAUAAGCACCGGCUAACUUCGUGCCAGCAGCCGCGGUAAUAC
rnacentral:rRNA from 1 species